ensembl:lncRNA
GCUGCUUUUAGGUCAGAUUCAUGGAGUUUAUUAGACUGGAGGAGGUUCACAUGACAGAUCAGCAUCUGUAAGGUGAGGUACCUGUUGCUGAUGUCGCUGUAGAGUCGUCAGUCUUCUCUGACUGAUCAGAAAUGGAGAGUGGAGCUCUGGGAAUGGAAACCAGCGCCGCUACAGAUCCCAGACUGAAGUCGAUGAGCAUGGCCUGUGUGCGGCGGCGGGCCUGGGCCCAGAGCAAAGACUCCGUCUGGCAGGAGUCAAAACCAGGGGACUGUGGCCCCCAGGGACCCCAACAGACCCAGACUAAUGGUAACACACAGAGACCCUCGG